UCCUCCUCUUCCUCCUCUUCUGAGCCAAUACGAGAAAGAAGGAGAAAGCAAACGGGAGAAAGGAAAGAGAGCUGGGGAGGUGUUGUAACCUCUUUUUUCUUUUGACACUCUUCCACUCCACUUGCCUCUCCACACCACUCACUUCGAGACUCUCCCUCCCUCUCUCUCUCUCUCUGUGUGUCUCUCUCUCUCCCCCCUGUGCCGUCUCUUAUUGGUGAAUGUGAAAUCAGUCGGUACGGCGCCGAGGCUCAACUAGAGCAGCAGGAGCAGCAGCCUGCGCUUGACAGCUGCCUCCAGCGUUCCUCCACCGGAGCCGUGUUGCUCUGCAUAGAGGAGUGCGCCGCACAAUCCGGGAUCCUGCAGACGAUGAAAACGCCAUCUGGGGUGAGGAUGGAGAUAAUCGGGGUGAAGAUGUGAUCUUCCUUACUUCCUGUCGCCCCUCUGAGUUGCACUUUUCCCGCGCUCGGCACUACUUACCAGGGAUGCGAGCGGCUUUCCCAGGCAUUUAGAUUUCCCACCAGCGUCUAGACACUCCCAGGAGGUUCUGCCAUCCAUUAUAAAGAUGGAGCUUUCAAAGAGAAGAGGAAGCGAGGGCCUCACACAGAGUGCGUUCUGCCUAAAAUCACACCGCUACGUACAGAACAACUUGUGCCGAACUCAACCCAGAUCCCAUCAUUAGAGGAACUCCAGAGGAGACAACCGGCGGAUCUUCUUCCCUGCGGAGCGCCGGUGCCGUGCUUAUGGCAGCUUCGGCCUUUUUGUCCUCAUCCAUCAAACCGUGGGCCACGCUCGGCCGGGUCUCAGCUGGUGGGAAGCCGAAACUCGGAGAGGGAUGUGGCUCCAUCCUGAGUCUCCCAGGUUGGUUUUUCCUCUAAUCGCACACUUCACUUUAUGGAGUGACCCGCUUUACAACCCGGUGAAAAGGAUCUGAAGCUCUGCUCGUUUUAUCUCUUUAUGUGUCUUCAUCAGCUCCACAGGUGGGUAUCGACGUUUCUAUCCCACAUACAUCACAUCAGGACGGUUUCACAGAGGGAAACAAAAACCCUUUUUCACCUCUUUGUUUCUUCCCUCCUUUCAAGUCCCAGAAACAUUUGAGCCCUCGGUCAGCUCCACACGACAA